rnacentral:rRNA from 1 species
UACGUAGGGUGCAAGCGUUAUCCGGAAUUAUUGGGCGUAAAGAGCUCGUAGGCGGUUUGUCGCGUCUGCUGUGAAAACUGGAGGCUCAACCUCCAGCCUGCAGUGGGUACGGGCAAACUAGAGUGCGGUAGGGGAGAUUGGAAUUCCUGGUGUAGCGGUGGAAUGCGCAGAUAUCAGGAGGAACACCGAUGGCGAAGGCAGAUCUCUGGGCUGUAACUGACGCUGAGGAGCGAAAGCAUGGGGAGCGAACAGG